rnacentral:rRNA from 1 species
UACAGAGGUCUCAAGCGUUGUUCGGAUUCAUUGGGCGUAAAGGGCGCGUAGGCGGCUCUGCACGUUCGUUGUGAAAUCGCCCGGCUCAACUGGGCGGGGUCAGCGGAUACGGCAGAGCUUGAGCAAGCUAGGGGGCAAUGGAAUUCCCGGUGUAGUGGUGGAAUGCGUAGAUAUCGGGAGGAACACCAGUGGCGAAGGCGGUUGCCUGGGGCUUUGCUGACGCUGAUGCGCGAAAGCGUGGGGAGCGAUCCGG